CCUACGGGAGGCAGCAGUGGGUAAUAUUGGACAAUGGGGGCAACCCUGAUCCAGCAAUGCCGCGUGUGUGAAGAAGGUCUUCGGAUUGUAAAGCACUUUCGACGGGGACGAUGAUGACGGUACCCGUAGAAGAAGCCCCGGCUAACCCUACAGCAGCCGCGGUAAU
rnacentral:rRNA from 2 species